rnacentral:rRNA from 1 species
AUGCCAUGGGUGGUAGUGGGUGAUCUUAAUGACAUCAUGUACUCUUUUGAGAAGGAAGGUGGUAAUCCUAGGCCAGCUCACUUCAUGGCUGCUUUUAGAGAUGCACUUGAGGAUUGUAAUCUAUCUGAUCAUGGUUAUUUUGGCGAUAAAUACACAUGGCAUUGUGGACAGAUCCAGGAAAGAUUGGACCGAGCUGUCUCCUCCCGGUCUGCAGCCUGCUUUCUGCAGUCGCUCGGCCUCACGCGCGUGUGGCCCGGCCCCGCCGGGUUUUGCCUGUCCUGCCUCCGGCUUAGCCGCGCGCCGGCGCCGCUCUGA